rnacentral:rRNA from 1 species
CCUACGGGUGGCUGCAGUGGGGGAUAUUGCACAAUGGGGGGAACCCUGAUGCAGCGACGCCGCGUGGGUGAAGGAGCGUUUCGGCGCGUAAAGCCCUAUCGGCAGGGAAGAAGAGGCCGGUACCUGACCACGAAGCACCGGCUAACUCCGGCCCAGCAGCCGCGGUAAGACGUAGGGGGCAAGCGUUAUCCGGAUUUACUGGGUGUAGAGGGGGCGCAGACGGCAAUGCAAGCCAGGCGUGAAAGCCCCGGGCCCAACCCCGGGACUGCUCUUGGAACUGGAUGGCUGGAGUACAGGAGAGGCAGGCGGAAUUCCUAGUGUAGCGGUGAAAUGCGUAGAUAUUAGGAGGAACACCGGUGGCGAAGGCGACCUGCUGGACUGUGACUGACGUUGAGGCCCGAAGGCGUGGGGAGCAAACAGGAUUAGAUACCCGUGUAGUC